GCCUCUAGACUGGUUGGGCUUAGAUGGGUCCUCAGCCGGCCCGGAUGGACCCAUCUAAACCAAGCCAUUCGGAGCCGG